UUUUAACGAAUAAUAAACUCUUU
rnacentral:snRNA from 1 species